CGUGCUCCUCCGGUGGCCGCCAGCGCCAGGCCCGCAGUGAAGACCAGAACCUCAUUUUCCUCAGCACAGAUCUAAGCGGACACCGCCUCACUUUGGGACAACUUGAGGCUGCGUCAAUGACCUCGUACUGUUGCUAUAUAAUUCAAUAUUGAAGUGAGAGAUUCUCCAGAGCUUGCCCAGAAGCCAAGAUGUCUGGAAAGGAUCUCAGCCUCUCUCAGCCUGCAGCUUGGGAAGAGUGAUUCACAGAGCCUGACUGCCCAUUGCUGCUAAUCCGCACACCGGCCUUGGCUCACACAUCUGACUGGAACUGUCUCCUAUGAGUAACUGCCUCUCUUUAUUCAGCCUUGCAAGUUUCCUGGGAGUGCUUCUAGAAACAAGCGGACUUCACACAUAAAAGGGGACUCUGGGAGACCUAGUUCCUGGCUUCUCUUCUGGAAGUCAGAGAAGAGCACAGGAAGGAGUGGCCACAGUGCCCAACUGACAAUUGACAAUUUCACCAAGUGGUGAUGAUGACAACUAACAUUUACCGAAUCCUUCCCAUGCUGAAAACCCUAUUGUAAGCUAUUUAUGUUCGAUAAGUCACUUAUUCUUCACGGCUAUCCUACCAAGUAAGCAUUAUGAUUAUCCCCACUUUUACAGGUGAAGAAAAUCGAGGCACCAAGAGGUUGGUUAACGUGCCCAAGAUCAGAUCGCACAGCGGUAUAAUAGGAUGGUAAACUCCUAUCAUAUAAUGAACGUUAAGUGGAAAAAAUUAGUAUCCAAAACUGUAAGUCUGAUGUCGCAAACUCUUUUUAUAAUUUAAGUAGUUUAUAAAUACCCUCAUUACUAGCCAUAUUUCUGAGCACUUCAUACGUAGAGUGCACUUUACAGAACACUGUCAUGUAACCCUCACACCGUCUAUGAAAUAAGUGAUAGUUUCCAGUUUCCAAAGACGAAAGCGGGGCUAGGAGAGGCCAAGUGCCUCGCGCGGCGCCUCAGGGUUCGCCCCCGCGGAGCAGACCUCAGGGCAUCCCAGGCGGGCCCCGGCCGAGCUCGCGGCCCUGCGGUGGCUACGCCCGGGCCCAGCCGCUCGCGCUCCUGGAGCCGCCGGACUACGCGGCACGCGGACGCCGAGCCUGCCCUCUUGGGUCUACAUAAAAACCGAAACUACGGGCAGUCUUAACCGAAAUGGAGACUUAAUUUUUUAGACUGUCUUUUGUGUAGUUGAGAAAGCCCCUUGCCGGGACCUGUGCUGCUGGGCCUCCGACCGCGUCCUCACUCCGGGCCC